rnacentral:rRNA from 1 species
CGGCGAGUGAAGCGGGAAGAGCUCAAAUUUGAAAUCUGGUGGCCUCAGGUCAUCCGAGUUGUAAUCUAUAGAAGUGUUUUCCGUGCUGGCUCAUGUACAAGUCCCUUGGAACAGGGCGUCAUAGAGGGUGAGAAUCCCGUCCUUGACAUGAACUACCAGUGCUCUGUGAUACAUUUUCAACGAGUCGAGUUGUUUGGGAAUGCAGCUCAAAAUGGGUGGUAAAUUCCAUCUAAAGCUAAAUAUUGGCGAGAGACCGAUAGCGAACAAGUACCGUGAGGGAAAGAUGAAAAGCACUUUGGAAAGAGAGUUAAACAGUAUGUGAAAUUGUUGAAAGGGAAACGAUUGAAGUCAGUCGUGCUCUUUGGAUUCAGCCGGUUCUGCCGGUGUACUUCCUUUGAGUGGGGUCAACAUCAGUUUUGAUCGCUGGAUAAAGGCUGGAGGAACGUAGUACCCUCGGGUAAACUUAUAGCCUCCUGUCACAUACAGUGGUUGGGACUGAGGAACGCAGCACGCCUUUAUGGCCGGGAUUCGUCCACGUACGUGCUUAGGAUGUUGACAUAAUGGCUUUAAACCC